CGUGCACCGGUGGGGUCCCUCAGCCUGGCCUGUGCCCUCUCCCAAUCCGGGACCCCUCGGGCGAUGUCAGAGAGCCAGUUUCAGCCCGAGACCCGCAGGCCAGGCUGAGGGACCCCAUCAGUGCAUG
rnacentral:pre_miRNA from 1 species